AAAUUCCCGCGAUGUGCACAGGCCGUGCCGGUUGCGUCAACCGCGGGUGACCAAGGCGUGCCGCAUCUGCGGCGUGUUACCGUGCUUCGAGCAACCAGAGGUGUUCUAUGACGCGGCUUGAGUGUGAUCGGCGAUUGUUCUCUUUGCGCGCCAGCGAUCACUUUACGUUACACCUAGAAGCAAUACUCCUCAGCUGCCUGAAACAGACUGCUUGUUUUUGUACUCGGACAAGAGGGCCCUGCGGCAGCAGUGGAUGAUCGUGGCAAAACAAUGCAAAUGUACUAAUAAGCAUAUAUUUGUGAGUGGGAGGCAGAAGGCUGACCGAGAGUUCCGACUUGCAACUAUGGAGAUGGGAUCCAACUGCCUAUAAAAAAAGAGGCACUUUGCUUCAAGACAUUACUUGGCCAUUCUGUAACGAAAUAACAUCUGAAAAGAUGAAAAGCAGUGCCAUGGAUGAUGCUACCACAGUAGGAACUGGAAACCAUCUCUGAUAUUAAGUAAAUGGGAACACAACUCAGGACCUGACUGGUGAUGGUUGCUUCAUAGGAUGGCGGUUGGCUUCCAAUACCUUUAACAGACGAAUACUAGAAUUUUUCAAUGAGAUUGAAGUGAUCAGAGCAGAAGAUAUGCAGUCUGUCACUAUCGCAGAGCCUUCUCCAACUGGAACAGCAGUGACAUAUUAAGGUGCUGUCGAUGGCAGUGUUGUGAGGUCUGAAUGGGAUGAUGCCACACCUGCUCACUUUUAGACUGAUGCUUACGCUGAGUUGGAUAAAAUAUUAAAAACCAUUAAUCUGAAUGUGAGAUAUGAAUGGCUGUUUUAUUGAUGCUGAGAUGAAUAAAAUAUUGAAAUCCAU